UGGGGAAUAUUGGACAAUGGGCGAAAGCCUGAUCCAGCCAUGCCGCGUGUGUGAAGAAGGUCUUCGGAUUGUAAAGCACUUUAAGUUGGGAGGAAGGGCAUUAACCUAAUACGUUAGUGUUUUGACGUUACCGACAGAAUAAGCACCGGCUAACUCUGUGCCAGCAGCCGCGGUAAUACAGAGGGUGCAAGCGUUAAACGGAAUUACUGGGCGUAAAGCGCGCGUAGGUGGUUUGUUAAGUUGGAUGUGAAAUCCCCGGGCUCAACCUGGGAACUGCAUUCAAAACUGACUGACUAGAGUAUGGUAGAGGGUGGUGGAAUUUCCUGUGUAGCGGUGAAGUGCGUAGAUAUAGGAAGGAACACCAGUGGCGAAGGCGACCACCUGGACUAAUACUGACACUGAGGUGCGAAAGCGUGGGGAGCAAACA
rnacentral:rRNA from 1 species